AAAGAAGUUGCCCGUGUUAUUUUCGCUUUUAUUUGUGACGAAACAAACAUGGUGCACUUCUU
ensembl:miRNA